rnacentral:rRNA from 1 species
GACGAACGCUGGCGGCGUGCCUAAUACAUGCAAGUCGAGCGGUGAGGAUUGGUGCUUGCACCAAUUUCGAGAGCAGCGCACGGGUGAGUAACGCGUGGAUAAUCUCCCUUUGAGCGGGGGACAACAUUGGGAAACGGAUGCUAAUACCGCAUAACAACUUUAAACAUAUGGUUUAAUUUUGAAAGAUGCAAUUGCAUCACUCAAAGAUGAUCUCGGGUCGUAUUAGCUAGGUGGUGAGGUAAAGGCUCACCAAGGGGAGGAUACGCAGCCGACCUGAGAGGGUGAUCGGCCACAUGGGAAGGGAGACAGGGACCAGAGUACUGAGGGAGGCAGCAGAAGGGAAUCGUCCGCAAUGGUCGGAAGCCUGACGGAGCAGGGCGGAGUGAGUGAUGAAGGUCUUGGGAUCGUAAAACCCUGUUAUGAGGGAAGAACAAAUGUGGAAGGAACUAGGCACGUCGUGACGGUACCUAAUCAGAAAGCAACGGCUAACUACGUG